AAACCUGACGCUGGCCUUGCUACUCAGUGUGGAUUCAGCUUUAAAUUUGACCCCAUGGGGAAUGCCAUGUUUUUUGCUUCUCUUCAAAACUGCUUUUCCCAAAACAUGGAUGAUAAGAUGUUCAGCUUGGUCAUGCAGUUCAGGCUGCCAGGAAACCACAUGACUGAAGACCCUGUUUAUAGAGUGGG